CAACGUCUGACAGACUCAGUGAAGUCGUUUCCUCUCAUUGACCAGUUGAGGCGUCGCUUCCUCUAAAUGACUUCAUCAAAUAUUUUUUUUUUCUGUUCUCUCAACUCUUCAUUUUAUUAAAGAUGUAACGUUUUAACUCCAGGAAAAAAUAAAAUACUUCAACACGUGAUGGUGACGAUAGGAAACAAACAGCAAAACGUUUAUUUACUGUUUAUCAGAAAACAAAGAGGCUCGAUGACGUUUGACAUCACAUCAACUGUGUGGAGGGAGAGAAGUUAAGUCAAGUUACUGAUCUGAGAUCAGUUCUCAUUAUAGCUACAAACACAUGUUUGCGUGUGAGCUGAGUGGAAACGUUAAACUAAGAAGCUGAUAUCAUCACAUAAAACGGACGUGUGGUUAACACCUGAAUGUUUAACUUCAUGUUUUUAAGAAACGAAAAGUUUACGUUUAGAGGAAGCGACACCUCAACUGGUCAAUGAGAGGAAACGACUUCACUGAGUCUGUCAGACGUUGAAGAAGAGACGAGAAGCAGGAUGGUUGAACUCAGAUGGAUUCAAGCGUCUUUAGUUCUGGUUCUGAUGCUUCACGUCACAGGAAACAAAACACAAACUGAUGAGAAACGCGGUGAGUUUGAACCAACACAACCACUGAAUCUAACUUUCAGGAACUAAAACCUUUGUUGAGCAGUGACUCCGUUUUGUUCAUUUCUGUCACGUUAGUCCUUCUGCUCAGUUGGAGCUGAGUCUCAUUUAAGUCAGUUCAGUGGACGCGCUCUGAACCCAUGUCUCUGUGUGUAGGUUGAUCCUGAGGGUGGAGUUCAUUACGCCUCCAUCCGCUACAGCAGGAAGCUCCGAUCUAAAGCCCGGGUAGGAGCUAAGGUACUGAACUAAGAAGUGCUUUCAGUCCAGUUAUUACAUUUCUCUCCACAGUCAUUAAGUCAUUAAUUGUUCUGAUUCCUGUCUGUCAGUCACUGUUUAUUCUCUGACUUGUGAUUAAUGACGUUUCCCUUCAGGGUAAACGAGCUGAUGAUGAUGAUGAUGAUGAUGCUGUGACCUACGCUUCCUGCUCCACUGAUCCCAGCCUCCUCUACGCUACCAUCAACCAACCAUGAGAGUUUGUUAUUGUGAGCUCACGAGGGUCCAGCUUAUUAUUACAGGUUUAUUAGUGCAGGUGUUGUCUAAUUGUGCUGUUUCUGGCUUAACCUAGUUGCCAAACGAUAAUACACUGAUUCUAAUCAAUCAGGGACCCAGUCCUGGUCCCUGAGGACCUCCGUUCCACUCGCAUGCUGUGGUGUUUUUACUGUGUGAGCUUCCACAGAACCAGAUUCAGCCAACGCCUCUAAACCUGGUGCAGCUUUGCUCACAUUCACACCAUCCACAGCCUGGCUGCAUAUAGAAACCACUGACACCCCCUCCUCCUCCUCCUCUUCCUCUUCGCUGCCUGUGAACAGGUCUUAUCUGAUGCCCCCAUGAUGUCAGUCGUACACUAGGCCUUAUUUUACAUCUGAUCAUUAGCAUGAAACCUCUUCUUUCUGAGGCUGAGCAAAUAAAUUGUCGGUGGGAAAGUAGAGACUGUGACGU
ensembl:lncRNA